rnacentral:rRNA from 1 species
UACGAAGGGGGCUAGCGUUGUUCGGAAUCACUGGGCGUAAAGCGCACGCAGGCGGAUCGUUAAGUCAGGGGUGAAAUGCCGAGGCUCAACCUCGGAACUGCCUUUGAUACUGGCGAUCUUAGAGUCCGGGAGAGGUGAGUGGAACUCCGAGUGUAGAGGUGAAAUUCGUAGAUAUUCGGAAGAACACCAGUGGCGAAGGCGGCUCACUGGACUGGUAUUGACGCUGAGGUGCGAAAGCGUGGGGAGCAAACAUG